GCUUCUUCAAGGUGCGUUUGCUCUCUAGAGGAUGCUCGUCUCUAUAUUAGGUUGCUGGGAUAUGAUAGUAGAUAACUUGUGUAUGGAGAAUUUGAUUAUCUGAUUAGUGCAUGAAGAUUUGAAAGGAAUAAAAUCCUAAAUUUGGAUUUGGUACUUUUGAUUAAUCCUCUUUUAUUUGCUGAGAAAAUGCGGGAAGAGUUUUUAUUUUCACGCUUUUCUUCUCUUAGAUUCAAAGUUUGUUUUUGGUAUUAUGGUUGGUAUUUAUAGUUUCUAAGGAAUAGACAAAUGCUAAUUAACUGUGAAAAUAUUGAUAUAUGGGUGAAUUUUCUUUUUCUUCUUUGGGUUUAAUGUAUUUAUGAAUGUGAUUAGCAUUUAUUUAUUUUUCAGCAUUUUACUGUGAAUUGGUUUAUUGUGAAAGUGUUUAGCUUUUUUUAUGUCAUAAUUGAUUUGUUAUUUGAAUGGGAAAUUGUGAGAAUGGACUAAGAUUUUGAAGAGCCUUUUUUUUUUUUU
rnacentral:misc_RNA from 1 species